UGCCAUACUCCUACUUUAUUCAUCAUUGGUUAAUAUUUCACAAUUUUUUAAACCCUGAUUCAUCAACGCCGCUUUAUUUAAUAAUUAUUUCGAUAUGUAAAGCUCUAUCAUCAGGUAAGAAUAUUACGGUACCUGAUUAAGAAGCCCCGGCUAACUACGUGCCAGCAGCCGCGUGAAUACGUAGGGGGCAAGCGUUAUCCGGAUUUACUGGGUGUAAAGGGAGCGUAGACGGCAUAGCAAGUCUGAAGUGAAAGCCACAGGAUCAAAAAUGGGAAUGCUUUGGAAACUGUUAAGAUAGAGUGAUGGAGAGGUAAGAGGAAUUCCUAGUGUAGAGGUGAAAUGCGUAGAUAUUAGGAAGAAAAAAAGUGGAGAAGGAGGAAUACUGGAAAGUAAAUGAAGUUGAGGCUAGAAAGAGUGGGGAGCAAAAAGGAUUAGAUAAACGGGUAACG
rnacentral:rRNA from 1 species